UACAGAGGUCUCAAGCGUUGUUCGGAUUCAUUGGGCGUAAAGGGUGCGUAGGCGGCGCGGUAAGUCGGGUGUGAAAAUCUCGGAGCUUAACUCCGAAACUGCAUUCGAUACUGCCGUGCUUGAGGACUGGAGAGGAGACUGGAAUUUACGGUGUAGCGGUGAAAUGCGUAGAUAUUCGCAAGAACACCAGUGGCGAAGGCGGCUCACUGGCCCGAUACUGACGCUGGAGGCAACGAAAGCGUGGGGAGCAAACAGG
rnacentral:rRNA from 1 species